AGUUUUAUUAUUGCUAUGUCGCCGAUUGGGUUAACCUUUUAGUAGAUUUUGUUUUAUUGGUUUGUUGGCUUCAAUUGAGGUGUUAAUUUUAGGUUUUGGGUGAUAUUUAUUCUAUUUCUUCGAUGUGAAUUGAAGUUAGAAUUUCAUUAAGGAUUUGGAGAGUCAGCCGGCGCCUCGGGUGAUAGCGGCUUGCGAUAGUGAUUCCGGUAACGAUAGAAGGGACGACAACAACUACAAGCCAGUUUUUCAGCGAAGAGAACACGGGAUGGUCAUCGUAUACGAUUAUGGAUCGUAUGUAUGAUGCAGUUGUGGUUAUGGCUCGAGGUGCUGGACUUCAAGCUGCUAUAUGACUGUCUGAGUAUGGAUUUAAUAUGCUUGUAUUACCAACCUGUUUCUGACUAGAUCACACACUCUUGCUACUCAGAUUUAUUUCGAUUACAUAUAAUACAAGUUUUGAAUAUUGAUUGUCAUUAAGAGAGCAUGAAGGGUAUGUUAAUAUGUUAUCGCCUCAUGGUUUGACAGCAAGGUCUUUAAUGUAACAGUGAAUAAGCUCUAGCAUGGAGAAGGUCAUCAGGUGUUUCAUUUAUAUUGCAAAUCUUGAAGUUCGUGAUUAGCCGAUGAAUUUUCAAGGGUAUACAACGUGAUGAUGGGAUCGAAUGAUAGUUUAAAGAAUGUCGUAGAGAACACAAACACAACCCAUUCAACACAGCUGGGUCACUCCAUUUAGACACAUUUCUGCAGCUUAAUCAUCUUGAUAUCCACGCUGAUGAUGAUGACGCUGGAUCUCAAGGAGCUGCUGGGCUAUUUGCAGGUGACUUGAGAGUAAUCGCAGAAAUAAACCCAGGGCUUAUGUAUCUUAAAGCCAUGGUAAUUCAAAAACAACAAGGUUACCAAGCCCAACCGAGGUCUUCACUUAAUCAGCCAGUAGCUCAAGCCUGUCCCAGUUUGACCCAUACAAAAAUAUCCACUCAUACUCAACUAUCUCACUCGCAAAAAGUAUAGAUCAGUGCUUGCGCGUUUGUUCGUGUUAUGGAAAUAUAUAUAGGAAAGUCACUUUGUUCGUGUUCUGUAUUGGUUUAUUUAGUUUUUGAUGGCUUCAGUCUAUUUGAAUAUGUUUGCUUAAAUACUCAUGGCUAUUUUGUCUUAGUUAAACCCGAG